rnacentral:rRNA from 1 species
UACGUAGGGUGCAAGCGUUGUCCGGAAUUAUUGGGCGUAAAGAGCUCGUAGGCGGUUUGUCGCGUCUGCUGUGAAAAUCCAGGGCUUAACCCUGGACCUGCAGUGGGUACGGGCAGACUAGAGUGCGGUAGGGGAGAUCGGAAUUCCUGGUGUAGCGGUGAAAUGCGCAGAUAUCAGGAGGAACACCGGUGGCGAAGGCGGAUCUCUGGGCCGUAACUGACGCUGGACGGAGCGAAACGCAUUGGGGAGCGAACAGGA